rnacentral:lncRNA from 1 species
AUGGCUCCGGCGCGGCCCCGUCCCGGCGUGUGCCGCAGCCCCCGCCCCGCGCCCCCAGCCCGGCUCUGCCCUGCCCUGCCCUGCCCCCGCCUCGCCAUCCCCGCGGCUCCGCUCCGCGCCGGCUCCUGCGAGCAAAGUUUGCAGCGCAGCCCCGCUGGGGGUGCCCCCCCCUCCGUGCGGCGGGGCUGCACCGCCUGGGGGGGGGACGGGGACACCGGGGGGGGCCGGCUGCCGGCUCGGCUCGGCCUGGCCUCCCCUCCCCUCCGUGCCCCCGGCCCCGCCGCCAGGCCGCGGAGGGCAGCGGGGGCACGGCCAGGGCAGGGCCGGUUCGGCUCCGCCGCGCACCCCCGGCUCGCCCCGAUCCGACCCGACCCGGCCCGGCUCGGCUCGGGGGCGGUCACGCCGGGCUCGCCCCGGUCAUUGUGUGCAGGAGGCUGCGGCCGCCCCCCCGCAGCCGCCGGUGGCACGGCCCCGCCGCUUUGUAAGGCGCCGCUUUGUGCCUCCGAGCCCCCCCCCCCCGGCCCCCGCUCACCUUCCCCGCGGGCGGCGGGGCCGCUCCAUGGGGCGGCGGGGGCAGAGCCUGGGGCAGAGCCCGCGGCGCUGCCCGGCGGGGCUGGGGCCGAGGCCGGGAGCGGGGCCGGGCGCGGUGCAGUGAGCGGGGCUGCCACUGGGGUCAGGGAGCAGGCACCAGGAAACACGGCGGCCACGGAGCGCUGCUCGCACGCACACACACACACACACACACACACACGACGCGGCUCCUCCCGCCGCCUUGCACUUCACCCCCCCGGGCAGGGAGGCAGGCAGGCAGGGAGGAAUCGCUGCUGCAUUUCGUCUCCCAAGUGCGGCAGAGCCUCCCCCCGCCCAGCCCGGCCGCACAGGCCGCCCCGAGCAGCGGCCGGGCGCGGAGCCGCAGCCCCGGGGCUCGACCCCAGCCUCAGCCCGGGCAGAGGGGGCCGGGGGGCGAUGUGUAGGGGUGAGGGGAGCGGCCCCACAGCCCCCGCGGGGCUCCAGGCGGGCAGCGCCUCCCCGCAGCCGGCUCCUGCGGUGGCUGAGCCAACCCCCGCCGGGAGGGAAAAAGCAGCGCACAGCAGCGGUACCCGGAGUACCCUUUGGGAUGAGGCUGCAGCAGCAGGACUUUUCCUGUGUUUGCCUUCGUACCGCAUCCAGAGCGCUCAGCACUACAAACGUGAGCUUCUGGCACAGACGGAAGAACGAGGAGGAAGGAUGGCACUCCUGCAAGCACUACAUCCUGAGGAAGAAACCAUGGCCUCUCCACAGAAGCGCCCCAGCUUUUUCAGAAAAAGGACAAUUCUCUUAAGGAAGUGCAACUGCAGCCUUCUGUCAGAAAUCUGCAGCCAGAGAGGAACACAUCAUUAUAAUGCUGAUAGAGCAUCAAGUAAGACUACUGAAGGAAAUAUCAUCAGUUGUCCUCUGGGCAUUCUUUUUAUAUUCGAUGGACCAGAACAUUGUCACAGGAUAAUGGUUGUCUGCCGCCUUGCCCCUAUUAAAUUAAAUUAA